rnacentral:rRNA from 1 species
UACGUAGGGUGCGAGCGUUAAUCGGAAUUACUGGGCGUAAAGCGUGCGCAGGCGGCGCGUUAAGACAGGUGUGAAAGCCCCGAGCUUAACUUGGGAAUUGCGCUUGUGACUGGCGAGCUGGAGUGUGGCAGAGGGAGGUGGAAUUCCACGUGUAGCAGUGAAAUGCGUAGAGAUGUGGAGGAGCACCGGUGGCGAAGGCGGCAUCCUGGACCGACACUGACACUGAGGAGCGAAAGCCAGGGGAGCAAACGGG